rnacentral:rRNA from 1 species
UACGAAGGGUGCAAGCGUUAAUCGGAAUUGCUGGGCGUAAAGCGCGCGUAGGUGGUUCAGUAAGUUGGAAGUGAAAUCCCCGGGCUCAACCUGGGAACUGCUUUCAAAACUGCUGAGCUAGAGUACGGUAGAGGGUGGUGGAAUUUCCUGUGUAGCGGUGAAAUGCGUAGAUAUAGGAAGGAACACCAGUGGCGAAGGCGACCACCUGGACUGAUACUGACACUGAGGUGCGAAAGCGUGGGGAGCAAACAGG